rnacentral:rRNA from 1 species
CAGCCGAGCGGUAGAGUCUCUUCGGAGACUUGAGAGCGGCGCACGGGUGCGGAACACGUGUGCAACCUGCCUUUAUCUGGGGGAUAGCCUUUCGAAAGGAAGAUUAAUACCCCAUAAUAUAUUAGAUGGCAUCAUUUGAUAUUGAAAACUCCGGUGGAUAGAGAUGGGCACGCGCAAGAUUAGAUAGUUGGUGAGGUAACGGCUCACCAAGUCUGCGAUCUUUAGGGGGCCUGAGAGGGUGAUCCCCCACACUGGUACUGAGACACGGACCAGACUCCUACGGGAGGCAGCAGUGAGGAAUAUUGGACAAUGGGUGAGAGCCUGAUCCAGCCAUCCCGCGUGAAGGACGACGGCCCUAUGGGUUGUAAACUUCUUUUGUAUAGGGAUAAACCUAGAUACGUGUAUCUAGCUGAAGGUACUAUACGAAUAAGCACCGGCUAACUCCGUGCCAGCAGCCGCGGUAAUACGGAGGGUGCAAGCGUUAUCCGGAUUUAUUGGGUUUAAAGGGUCCGUAGGCGGAUCUGUAAGUCAGUGGUGAAAUCUCACAGCUUAACUGUGAAACUGCCAUUGAUACUGCAGGUCUUGAGUGUUGUUGAAGUAGCUGGAAUAAGUAGUGUAGCGGUGAAAUGCAUAGAUAUUACUUAGAACACCAAUUGCGAAGGCAGGUUACUAAGCAACAACUGACGCUGAUGGACGAAAGCGUGGGGAGCGAACAGGAUUAGAUACCCUGGUAGUCCACGCCGUAAACGAUGCUAACUCGUUUUUGGGCUUUCGGGUUCAGAGACUAAGCGAAAGUGAUAAGUUAGCCACCUGGGGAGUACGUUCGCAAGAAUGAAACUCAAAGGAAUUGACGGGGGCCCGCACAAGCGGUGGAUUAUGUGGUUUAAUUCGAUGAUACGCGAGGAACCUUACCAAGGCUUAAAUGGGAAAUGACAGGUUUAGAAAUAGACUUUUCUUCGGACAUUUUUCAAGGUGCUGCAUGGUUGUCGUCAGCUCGUGCCGUGAGGUGUUAGGUUAAGUCCUGCAACGAGCGCAACCCCUGUCACUAGUUGCCAUCAUUAAGUUGGGGACUCUAGUGAGACUGCCUACGCAAGUAGAGAGGAAGGUGGGGAUGACGUCAAAUCAUCACGGCCCUUACGCCUUGGGCCACACACGUAAUACAAUGGCCAGUACAGAGGGCAGCUACACAGCGAUGUGAUGCAAAUCUCGAAAGCUGGUCUCAGUUCGGAUUGGAGUCUGCAACUCGACUCUAUGAAGCUGGAAUCGCUAGUAAUCGCGCAUCAGCCAUGGCGCGGUGAAUACGUUCCCGGGCCUUGUACACACCGCCCGUCAAGCCAUGGAAGUCUGGGGUACCUGAAGUCGGUGACCGUAAUAGGAGC